UACGUAGGGGGCAAGCGUUGUCCGGAAUCAUUGGGCGUAAAGCGCGCGUAGGCGGCCCGGUAAGUCCGCUCUGAAAGUCCAGGGCUCAACCCUGGAAAGCGGGUGGAUACUGCCGGGCUAGAAUCCGGAAGAGGCGAGUGGAAUUCCUGGUGUAGCGGUGGAAUGCGCAGAUAUCAGGAGGAACACCAAUAGCGAAGGCAGCUCGCUGGGACGGUAUUGACGCUAAGGCGCGAAAAGCGUGGGGAGCGAACAGG
rnacentral:rRNA from 1 species